UGCAUAAUACCUGGAUAGGGUUUAAAACAAAAAAUUGUGCGGCUUUUGCAACAUAGAGUAAGAUUUAAACUUGUAAUCCAUUUUUAUUCACAAAACAAUUUCUUUUCUGGUCCUAAUGGACAGGGAACAAGUUUAAAUAAUUUUACAGCAAGAUAACAUGCUCAAAACUAUUUUGAAACAAUUCAUUUGAAAUUUGAACCAUAAACCACCAUUCUGUAAAUAACUACUGUCUAAGUUGUCCAAAACUGAAUUUAAACAAUGCCAAAAUAUUCUACACGUUGUGACGAUUCCAGAAAGGUGUGGAACAAAAUUUUUGGACAAACGGUUUGAAAGAUAUGAGGCAUUGAAGUUACAGGGGCUUUUCUCCAAAAAUGCAUUAUCUACUACGGCCGAAAAUAAAAUAAAAUAAAAUAAAAAGGGCACUGCCACGUGGCAGAACAAGAGUGGCCGGAGCCUAGGGUUUCCGGCCGGCCGGGCU
rnacentral:lncRNA from 1 species